rnacentral:rRNA from 1 species
AGUCGAGCGGUAGAGAGGUGCUUGCACCUCUUGAGAGCGGCGGACGGGUGAGUAAAGCCUAGGAAUCUGCCUGGUAGUGGGGGAUAACGCUCGGAAACGGACGCUAAUACCGCAUACGUCCUACGGGAGAAAGCAGGGGACCUUCGGGCCUUGCGCUAUCAGAUGAGCCUAGGUCGGAUUAGCUAGUUGGUGAGGUAAUGGCUCACCAAGGCGACGAUCCGUAACUGGUCUGAGAGGAUGAUCAGUCACACUGGAACUGAGACACGGUCCAGACUCCUACGGGAGGCAGCAGUGGGGAAUAUUGGACAAUGGGCGAAAGCCUGAUCCAGCCAUGCCGCGUGUGUGAAGAAGGUCUUCGGAUUGUAAAGCACUUUAAGUUGGGAGGAAGGGCAUUAACCUAAUACGUUAGUGUUUUGACGUUACCGACAGAAUAAGCACCGGCUAACUCUGUGCCAGCAGCCGCGGUAAUACAGAGGGUGCAAGCGUUAAUCGGAAUUACUGGGCGUAAAGCGCGCGUAGGUGGUUCGUUAAGUUGGAUGUGAAAUCCCCGGGCUCAACCUGGGAACUGCAUUCAAAACUGUCGAGCUAGAGUAUGGUAGAGGGUGGUGGAAUUUCCUGUGUAGCGGUGAAAUGCGUAGAUAUAGGAAGGAACACCAGUGGCGAAGGCGACCACCUGGACUGAUACUGACACUGA